rnacentral:rRNA from 1 species
CACGCCGUAAACGAUGAGUGCUAGUUGUUUGGGGCUAUCCAGCCCUAAGUGACGCAGCAAACGCAUUAAGCACUCCGCCUGGGGAGUACGACCGCAAGGUUGAAACUCAAAGGAAUUGACGGGGGCCCGCACAAGCGGUGGAGCAUGUGGUUUAAUUCGAAGCAACGCGAAGAACCUUACCAGGUCUUGACAUACUCGUGCUAUUCCUAGAGAUAGGAAGUUCCUUCGGGACACGGGAUACAGGUGG